GAGGUGGAGUUGGAGACCACAGAGGAGGGGGAUGAGGAGCUGUCCGAGGAGGAGGAUGAUGAUGACUCCAAGAGUCAGGAUAAGAUUGAGGGAAUUCUUGGCGUGCAGCAGACCACCCUGGCGUCUGCGUCCGGAGGUUCAGGUUCCAGUGUUCAGUCAGCAGGGGGAGCAAGUGAUGCAACAGGAAGUUCUGCAGGUUCCCCAGGUUCUGCAGCGGCAGCAUUAGGACUCUCUGGUGCCUCUACUGGUCAAAGUCACGCUGCAGGUUCUGACGGAGUCGACUCGCAGUCUAACGGAAACGGACAGAAGCUGCUGAAUGGAGGAGGAGG